rfam:Sarcophilus harrisii ctg7180002462370, whole genome shotgun sequence.
ACAGAGGUCCUUAGCCUAAGGACCACAAACUUUAAAAAAAAAAAAUCU